rnacentral:snRNA from 1 species
CAUCUCAACAGAUCAUAUACUGAAGUUGAAAUGUUACAGAAAUUAGCAUGGCUCCUGUACAAGACUGAUAAGCAAAUUCAUGAGGCUUUCCCGAUCUAU